rnacentral:rRNA from 1 species
UGAGUAACACGUAUCCAACCUGCCGUCUACUCUUGGACAGCCUUCUGAAAGGAAGAUUAAUACAAGAUGGCAUCAUGAGUCCGCAUGUUCACAUGAUUAAAGGUAUUCCGGUAGACGAUGGGGAUGCGUUCCAUUAGAUAGUAGGCGGGGUAACGGCCCACCUAGUCUUCGAUGGAUAGGGGUUCUGAGAGGAAGGUCUCCCACAUUGGAACUGAGACACGGUCCAA